rnacentral:piRNA from 1 species
UNGCAGUGGUUGCCCAAGGCAUAUCCUCAGU